CAGAGAAGAAAAAAAAGUUGGGUAGAUUAAUUUGUUUUCUUCCUCCGAGUUGCACUAUAAAAGGGAGGUUACCCCUUCAUUAUAAACACACCAAAAUAUACAAGUGUUCCUACUGCAAUAUUGUGAGUAUUUAUUUUGAAUAUAAGAAUACUUUGAGUGUAAUUUAUAGUGCAAGAUUUUCUCAAGAUAAUAUCCGUUAUACCAAGUCAGAUCUAGUUUCUACUAAGGUAAAUGAUGUUAUUUUCUUUCAAUAUUCAUAAGGGAUAUUAUUUUCGUUCAAUAUUCGUAAGGAAUAUUAUUUUCUUUCAUACUCUAUAGUAUGUAAGUAAUAUUAUUUCGUUUCAUAUUCCUAAAUUUAAACUUACUAUGAUAAGUAUUGCUUCUAUAAUUUCUGAAAUGAUUAGAAAUUACUUGAGGUUUGCACUUCAUCUAAUAUUAUUUCACUGAAAUAUUGGUCUGAACUAUCUUAUUAAAUUUUAAUUUUUUUCAUGUCAGUGUACUAUUCAUCUGGGAUACUAUUCAUACCAGAGUACUAUUCAUUUGGGGUACCAUUCCUGGAUGAUAAGAAUGGUGAAGGAAAUAUGGCUUGGCAGUAUCAAGCUUGCCUCCAUUCGAAGGUUGUUGUUCUGUCAUGAUAAUAAGAAACAACAAAAACAAAAGUAAAGAGAGCAAAAGACUCGGGUAUCAUCCCCUGCUCGGACACCAUGUAAAGAAAAGGGAAAAAUAAUGUUUUUCGAUACUGUUAUUGAAUCAGAAGAUGUAGCUUUAUAUAAGAGAUUUCCUACAAUCAAGCUAAUCCAUUCUAGGUAGUUAUAAGAGAUUUACUACAAUCAUGCUAAUUGCUAAUCUAUUCUAUGUGGUUACAAGUAUAAAAGGUAACUGAACAAAUAUACUACUAAUAUAAUAUAUUUGUCAAUUAAUGAUCAGAUAUCAUUGUCUUUUCCCUCUCAACAGUGGGGGUGGUAGUAUGCGAUAAUGGGUGGUGGGGGUAGUGUCGUGGUGGCGGUGGGUGGUAUGCAUUGUAGUGAGAGAAGUGAAGUCAAGAAUUAAAAAAAUAAAAUUAUGAUUGUGAUGCAUGAUAAAAUAGUAAUGAGUAGCCUUUUUUUUUAAAAGAGUUGACUCAAUAUCUUUUUUUUUAAGAGAUAAAAAGAGGUUGUCAAAGUUUUUAUCAAACAACUUGCAUCUGCACGAAAAAAGAUGCAAGAUCAAAAGAAAGGUAACAAGAGACUAUCAAGCACUACCAAAUUGAAACAUGCAUGGAAUAUCUUAUUUGAAAAGUUUGACUCGCAAUUUUAGAAAUCAUGUGUAUGUAAUUGUAACAUCUCAUUUUCACAUCGAAAUAUAUGAGAAAAAAAAUUGUUUGUAUAUAAAAAAUUAAGUUACUAAUAAUAAUUUCAGUCAUGACUUUUUUGGUGAGCUAGUGGUGGACUUAGAUAACUCAAAAAGGGAAGUGGUUAGUAUGAAGUUUAUUUUGGGGUAAAUUGGUCAAUUGACCAAUAGAAUACUGACACGCAAGCGAUGUUGUAUGUGUGUCAGUAUGUUAUUUGCCAAUUGACCAACUUACCAAAAAAAUAACUUCAUGCUAACCGGAUCCCUCAAAAAGAUACUAUUAGGUUAGCGGUUUAAAGCCUUGUUUGGAUGAAUUUGAUUCGAUUCGGACUUGAAAUUUGACCAAAGAUUUGUUCCGGACUCGAGAUUUGACCUAAGUUAUUUAUAUAGUAUCAGAGUUGGGUCUCGAAAGCUCGGGUUGGGUUGUUCAAUCGAGUUAUAGGAGGAGGGAACAUGAAGGUUGUUGAUAAUAUUCCACAAUGGAAAAGAGGUAUGGAGUUGGGGACAAGAAACUAGCUGGUAUUCUCUCACAAUAGCUAAAAAGACAAAGAUCUAUGAACCGUUUAUAUGAUCAAUUCUGACGGGACGUCAAAAAUUUAAGUAGAGGACUGUGUAACACCCCAAUUCCAGAUUGCAAGCUAUGUAAAAAAUUAUUUGUAUAUAAGAAACUAAGUUGUUAACAAUAAUGCAUUCAGUCAUGACUUUUUGUAUGAGUAUGUGGUAGGUUAAGAUGUCCCAAGAAGAUAAUAUUGAGCUAAUAGUUUAAGGCAUUGUUUGGAUGAAUUUAAUUCGAUUUGGACUUAAAAUUUAAUCCAAUAUUUAUUUCAAAUUCAAGAUUUGGCCCGAAUUAUUUCAAUAAUUAUGUAA
rnacentral:lncRNA from 1 species